UGACGUAUAGGGGACGGACCGGAAAUCGGAUAUGUUCGCCCAACGCUGGCGGACAGUUCGCGACAUCUCUAUUUGUGGAUAUGUUUUUUAAAUGUUUCCAAUCUGUUACAAAAAUAUUUAAAAGAUUUUUGGCUGUAUGGACAAAGGUGCUUGGCGAUGGUGCAUUUUGUCCCCCCUAGACAUGCGAAGGAUGAAUAUACCAUAUUAUAACACAGUCGGACCAGAUACAAACACAGAGAUUAGUAUAGCAUUAUAUAGCAAUCUAGGUUGAAAAAAUACACAAGUUCAUGGAGUUCAAACUUUAAAAUUCACAUUUUUAGGAAUCUGAUCACAAAGAAGGCAAACAAAUCAAACAAGCAAAUUUGAAGCAGUGUCCAAUUACGUCACAAAAAAAGAAACUACUUAGAGGUAAUCAGCUUUUUCUUUCAAUAAAUAACCAAUCAACACAUACAUGUUCAUUAUCUCCUUGAAUAUUCUGAUUUUCAAAAAACAAAAAACAAAAUAUCCAGGUCUUUAAAAAAAUAUCUAUAAUCUAAACUGAUCUAUUAUUGCUUUGGAGCUUCUUGAUACCCAUCCAUUGCCACAAUAUACUGUGAGGUAUUUUUUACAAUAAAGCUCUGGGUUUUCCUUACUUA